rnacentral:lncRNA from 1 species
AAAACCCAGCAGUUUCACAAGGAGAGAGAACAGCCACCCAGAUUUGCACAGGAUGGAGCGGACUAGAACAUUCAGGAAGCUCCUGCGAAGCUGGAGAUGGAGGUGGAGGCAGCACACCAAGACAUGAUGCUAGGAUAGCCGGAAGGAUUCAAGGGAACCUUCCCUGAUGCAAGAUAACAAGAGAUACGGAUGGGCCAAAUGGCCAUGGGAGGUGCUGUGCACAUAAACAAUAGGAGUGCCGGGACCACUGCUCCUGUGUCACCUGGUACUCUGGCCCCUCCAGGACCUGACACUAUGAUGGCAGAUGGAACCCUGGGAUUGACCCCACUACCAACUGAACGAUUUGGCCAUGCUGCUACAGCCGAAGGAAUUGGUGGAACUCCUGCAUUCAACGGUCCAGGUCUAGGAGCUGAAUUUGCUCCAAAUAAA